rnacentral:rRNA from 1 species
AUGAACGCUGGCGGCGUGCCUAAUACAUGCAAGUCGAGCGAAUGGACGAGAAGCUUGCUUCUCUGAUGUUAGCGGCGGACGGGUGAGUAACACGUGGAUAACCUACCUAUAAGACUGGGAUAACUUCGGGAAACCGGAGCUAAUACCGGAUGAUAUUUUGAACCGCAUGGUUCAAAAGUGAAAGACGGUCUUGCUGUCACUUAUAGAUGGAUCCGCGCUGCAUUAGCUAGUUGGUAAGGUAACGGCUUACCAAGGCAACGAUGCAUAGCCGACCUGAGAGGGUGAUCGGCCACACUGGAACUGAGACACGGUCCAGACUCCUACGGGAGGCAGCAGUAGGGAAUCUUCCGCAAUGGGCGAAAGCCUGACGGAGCAACGCCGCGUGAGUGAUGAAGGUCUUCGGAUCGUAAAACUCUGUUAUUAGGGAAGAACAUAUGUGUAAGUAACUGUGCACAUCUUGACGGUACCUAAUCAGAAAGCCACGGCUAACUACGUG